UUCAGUUUUCGUAUUCAAGAAAAAUUGAAUUGGUUAAAAGAUGACGCAGAAAGGCUCUUCGAACACUUUGAGUAUCAUUCCUAUUACUCUCUCUUUCCUCUUCUUAUUCAUUUUUAAUUUUCAAAAAUAUAUUUUCGGCUCCUACUAGACACUUGUGUCAUCCCGAACAAAAGGAUGCACUUCUCGAGUUCAAAAACGAGUUUGUGAUCGGCAAACCUUCUUCAUUUUGUAUCACUUCUCAUCUGAAGACAGAGUCAUGGGGGAAUAAUAGUGACUGUUGUUAUUGGGACGGUGUCACAUGUGAUCCCAAAUCCGGAGAAGUGGUCAGUCUAGACCUUUCUUGCAGCUGCCUCCAUGGCCACUUCCGCUCUAAUCAGCUUUUUAUGGUUCAAAAUCUUCGUUCUCUAACCACUCUCGUCUUUUCAUUUAACAAUUUUAGCGGUCAAUCCCGUCUUCAAUUGGAAACUUUUCUCAUCUUACUACUCUAUCCUUUUCUGGAAAUUCUAUUAGUGGUUGGAUUCCUUCUUCGAUUUGAGACCUUUCUAAUCUAAGAGUUCUCUACCUCUCUAGAAACACUUAUGUUGGUGAAAUCCCAUCUUCACUUGCAAAUCUUUCUAAUCUCAGAGUUCUCGACCUCACUAAUAACAAUUUUGUUGGUGAAAUCCCAUAUUCACUUGGAAACCCUGCUAAUCUCAGAACUCUCUACCUCACUAAUAACAAUUUUGGUGGUGAAAUCCCAUCUUCAAUUGAAAAUCUUUCUAAUCUCGUAAUUCUCGACCUCACUAAUAACUAUUUUGUUGGUGAAAUCCCAUCUUCAAUUGGAAACCUUUCUAAUCUUGCAUUUCUCAGCCUCGCUAAUAACAAUUUCCUCGGUGAAAUCCCAUCUUCACUUGGAAUCCUUUAUAAUCUCAUGUAUCUCAACCUCUCAUUUAACAAAUUUGUUGGUGAAAUCCAAUCUUCACUUGGAAACCUUUCUAAUCUCAUACGUCUCUACUUCUCUGCUAACAAUUUUGUUGGUGAAAUCCCAUCUUUACUUGAAAAUCUUUCUCAUCUCAUAUAUCUCAGCCUAGCUCAUAACAAUUUUGUCGAUGAAAUCCCAAUAUCCAUUUUUAAGUCAAUCAACCUUGUGAAACUCGACGUUUAUGGUAAUCACCGCAGCGGAAGUCUGCCAGAUAUAUUUUCCAGUGGAAGCAAUCUAAGGUCACUAAAUGUUGGUCACAACCAAUUGGGAGGAAAACUUCCGAGAUCUUUGGCUAGUUGCUCUUCCUUGGAGGUUCUAAACGUGGAGUUCAACAGAUUCAACGAUAGUUUUCCAUUCUGGUUGAAAUCUUUGCAACAACUACAAGUAUUGGUCCUUCACUCUUAUGACUUUCAUGGGUCAUUACAAUAUCAUCCCAAAGUUGCUUUUGAGUUUCCUCAGUUGCGAAUCAUUGACAUAUCAUAUAAUUCCUUCAGUGGAACCUUACCAUCUGACUUCUUCAUGUAUUGGAGCGCGAUGUGGUCAAAGGAACACCGUUCAGAAUAAAAGUACCUUGGAGUUGGUGCCUAUUAUGAAGACUCGUUGGUUUUGAUGAAUAAAGGAUUAGAGAUGAAAUAUACAAGGAUCCUUACACUCUUAACAGCCAUUGAUAUUUCGGGAAAUAGACUCCAAGGACCUAUCCUAAAUCCAUUGCUCUAGUGAAGAAUCUUAUUGUGCUUAAUCUGUCAAGCAAUGGUUUCAUUGGCAACAUCCCUUCAUCUUUAGCGAAUUUGACUGAGCUCGAGUCUCUAGACUUAUCGCAUAACAAUCUUUCGGGCCAAAUUCCACCUGCUCUUGUCGACCUCACAAGGCUUUCUAAGAUUGUUGUUUCACAUAAUCAACUCACUGGUCCGAUACCGCAAGGCACACAAUUUCAGACGCAAAAUGCUUCGUCUUUCGAAGAUAACCUUGGACUUUGCGGUCGUCCUCUCAGUAUAAAUUGUGGAGACAUACAUACAGAGCAAUCACAAGAACCAGAAGAAGAAGAAGAAGAAGAAGAUGAAGAAGAAGGAGUAUUUAGCUGGACUGCAGCUGGCAUAGCCUUAGCACCUGGAGUCAUCAUCGGAUUGAUUAUUGGGCACAUUAUGGUUACAGAAAAGCCUCAAUGGUUCAUGAAGAUUUCUGGCGUGACGAGUUUAACAAUUCGGUUUUUUUACAAAACGGUGUAGUGAAGACAUCUUGCGAUCACUGGAAUAGUCUCUCUCUCUCGAUUUUGUUCAAGCUAUUAGCUAUAGGACCAGUUCAACAGGCUGCUUAAAUUCCUAAAUUUGGCGAUGCUCCUCCCUUACCUGUCUUGGUCUGUCUCUCUCGAUGGUUCCGGAAGAAAAUGUGGUAUAUUGAGGUCCUGUUGUUCUUU